rnacentral:misc_RNA from 1 species
AACCUGCGGAGGGAUCAUUACCGAGUUUACAACUCCCACACCAUUUGUGAAUCUUACCUAGCUAUGCCUCGGCGUAAGCUGCCGGUACGGUCUCGUGCUGAGACGGAUGCUAGCUACCCUGUAGCUAGCUCCCGGAUCGGCGCGGUUCCGCGGCAGCCCGCCGGUGGUACACUAAACUCUUGUUUUAACUGUACGUUCUGAGCGUCUUAUUUAAUAAGUCAAAACUUUCAACAACGGAUCUCUUGGUUCUGGCAUCGAUGAAGAACGCAGCGAAAUGCGAUAAGUAAUGUGAAUUGCAGAAUUCAGUGAAUCAUCGAAUCUUUGAACGCACAUUGCGCCCAUUAGUAUUCUAGUGGGCAUGCCUGUUCGAGCGUCAUUUCAACCCUUAAGCCUAGCUUAGUGUUGGGAAUCCACGGUCUCGUGGUUCCUUAAAGACAGUGGCGGAGCGAUAGCAGUCCUCUGAGCGCAGUAAUUCUUUUUCUCGCUUUGGUCAGGCUCUAUCUUCUCGCCAUAAAACCCCCAAUUUUUUUGUGGUUGACCUCGGAUCAGGUAGGAAUACCCGCUGAACUUAAGCAUAUCAAUA